rnacentral:rRNA from 1 species
CAGCCGCCGCGGUAAUACGAAGGGUGCAACCGUUAAUCGGAAUUACUGGGCGUAAAGCGUGCGUAGGCGGUUUGUUAAGUCUGCUGUGAAAUCCCCGGGCUCAACCUGGGAAUGGCAGUGGAUACUGGCAAGCUAGAGUGUGUCAGAGGAUGGUGGAAUUCCCGGUGUAGCGGUGAAAUGCGUAGAGAUCGGGAGGAACAUCAGUGGCGAAGGCGGCCAUCUGGGACAACACUGACGCUGAGGCACGAAAGCGUGGGGAGCAAACAGGAUUAGAUACCCGAGUAGUCCCUGUCUCUUAUAC